UACAGAGGUCUCGAGCGUUAGGCGGAAUCACUGGGCUUAAAGCGUGUGUAGGUGGAUGCCUAAGUACCUUGUGAAAUCCCACAGCUUAAUUGUGGAACUGCUUGGUAUACUGGGUGUCUUGAGUCACUCAGGGGCGAGCGGAACAAAUGGUGGAGCGGUGAAAUGCGUAGAUAUCAUUUGGAACGCCAAUGGUGAAAACAGCUCGCUGGGGGUGUACUGACACUGAGACACGAAAGCCAGGGGAGCGAACGGG
rnacentral:rRNA from 1 species